rnacentral:rRNA from 1 species
GACGAACGCUGGCGGCGUGCUUAACACAUGCAAGUCGAACGGUGAAGCGCCUUCCUUUUUGGUGGGUGUGGAUGAGUGGCGAACGGGUGAGUAACACGUGAGUAACCUGCCCCCUUCUUCUGGAUAACCGCAUGAAAGUGUGGCUAAUACGGGAUAUUCUGGGUCUGUCGCAUGAUGGGUCUGGGAAAGAUAUUGUUUCGGUGGGGGAUGGGCUGGCGGCCUAUCAGCUUGUUGGUGGGGUGAUGGCCUACCAAGGCGGUGACGGGUAGCCGGCCUGAGAGGGUGGACGGUCACACUGGGACUGAGACACGGCCCAGACUCCUACGGGAGGCAGCAGUGGGGAGUAUUGCACAAUGGGCGCAAGCCUGAUGCAGCGACGCCGCGUGAGGGAUGGAGGCCUUCGGGUUGUGAACCUCUUUCGCCAGUGAAGCAGGCCUGCCUCGUUUGUGGGUGGGUUGACGGUAGCUGGAUAAGAAGCGCCGGCUAACUACGUG